rnacentral:lncRNA from 1 species
CCUGCCCGCGCCCGGCUGGCGACGCCCCGUGGAAUUACCGCCUUGCCCCCGGCUGCUCCCCAGCCCUCCCGGGUGAGGUUCCCACCGCCAGCUGUAAGGAGCGUCGUACCCAGGACGGCGGGAAACUGCACACUAGCUCGGUCCCCCGGGACGUGCCGACCCCUGCAGUGAGGCAUGAGAUUUUUGUCCUGUGUUGUAUCCAUUUCCCAUGGCCAUUGCUGCCUGGCCUCCAAGUAGAUUUCUAGAACCACUGUCUUUUCACGAACUACCUUUGUCCUUAAACUGAACUCAGCGCCCCCCCCCCCAACCAAAGAAAGAACCUACCUUAAGGUCUAAAUGAUGCUGCCUUCGAAAGGUUGCUUUCAAGUGACAAAUGAUACUGUUUUCGCAGCUAUCUGCAACUUUGAUGCUCGAGAGUGUCCGGACUCCGUUUCUCCCGUAUCUUGGCAGUGCUUUAGUGACACUGGCUCUGUUUUCUCUAAACAGGGGCAAAAUCUGCACUUCCAGACUUACGGUAGCAAUUGAUCCCACUGCGAGAGAGCAGGCUGAGGAUCGUUCUCCUUGGACCCACCUGGAUCCUUUGCUGGCCUCUGAACCAGCCAUUCUAAUAGUCAGGCUCGAGUCAUUUGCCCAUACCUGAAAAACCUCAAGGGAAAUAGCCUUAGUUUCCUAUUCUUCCACACAUCCAAUCCAGAUGAACUAGUGGAAGAGAAAAUUUUCCAAACGACAAUUCAGGUAGUAUUAAGAAAGAAGUAAAAUAAAAUGUGAACCAUAGAUGUCUGCUACUGUCCACCAUUCUCCAACGCGUACUAUGUCAGUUAGGAGCACUACCGCGCAAAAGGACCGCCUACAUCUGCUCCUUUACUAGUAGUCUAAAGAUCAGAAAAACAAGAAUGCUAAUGGCCACAGAGUUGUAAGUAACUGAACCAAUCAUCCGUGUUCUUUGACCUCAGGAGAUAGUUUAAAAACUACUUCCAAGACGGUUGUCGUGGCUCACACCUGUAAUCCCAGCACUCAGGAGGCUGAGGCAGGAGGAUCCUUGUGAGUUCGAGACCAGCCUGGACUACCAAGUGAGCUCAAGGCCAGCCUGAACUGCAUAGCGAGACCCUGUCUCAAAAAGACAAAAAAAAUAAAUAAAUAAAUAAAAAUUUUAAAAAACUACUUUCUAGCAAAUAAUAUCUAAAACAUAAUUGUAUCUUAUAAUUUUCCUCCUAAAUUAUGAUACCCAGCCUUGGUUACUAUGUAAUCAUUUCAACCUGGUAAGAGUUCACAGAAAUAACUUGGUAUGCAUUAUUCAUUCACUUGGAAAAAAAAUGUAGCAAAUAAACAGUCACAUUCAGUAUUCAAGUGCCACAGGGCUCCUCUUCGUCAUUACAGUUCACUGCUGUCUUU